GGAAAUGGAUUAGAAUCGUGGAAA
ensembl:miRNA mir-788 ncRNA